GACGAACGCUGGCGGCGUGCUUAACACAUGCAAGUCGAACGGAAAGGCCCUUCGGGGUACUCGAGUGGCGAACGGGUGAGUAACACGUGGGUGAUCUGCCCUGCACUUUGGGAUAAGCCUGGGAAACUGGGUCUAAUACCGAAUAGGACCACGCGCUUCAUGGUGUGUGGUGGAAAGCUUUUGCGGUGUGGGAUGGGCCCGCGGCCUAUCAGCUUGUUGGUGGGGUAAUGGCCUACCAAGGCGACGACGGGUAGCCGGCCUGAGAGGGUGACCGGCCACACUGGGACUGAGAUACGGCCCAGACUCCUACGGGAGGCAGCAGUGGGGAAUAUUGCACAAUGGGCGCAAGCCUGAUGCAGCGACGCCGCGUGAGGGAUGACGGCCUUCGGGUUGUAAACCUCUUUCAAUAGGGACGAAGCGCAAGUGACGGUACCUAUAGAAGAAGCACCGGCCAACUACGUGCCAGCAGCCGCGGUAAUACGUAGGGUGCGAGCGUUGUCCCGAAUUACUGGGCGUAAAGAGCUCGUAGGUGGUUUGUCGCGUUGUUCGUGAAAACUCACAGCUUAACUGUGGGCGUGCGGGCGAUACGGGCAGACUAGAGUACUGCAGGGGAGACUGGAAUUCCUGGUGUAGCGGUGGAAUGCGCAGAUAUCAGGAGGAACACCGGUGGCGAAGGCGGGUCUCUGGGCAGUAACUGACGCUGAGGAGCGAAAGCGUGGGGAGCGAACAGGAUUAGAUACCCUGGUAGUCCACGCCGUAAACGGUGGGUACUAGGUGUGGGUUCCUUCCUUAGGAUCCGUGCCGUAGCUAACGCAUUAAGUACCCCGCCUGGGGAGUACGGCCGCAAGGCUAAAACUCAAAGGAAUUGACGGGGGCCCGCACAAGCGGCGGAGCAUGUGGAUUAAUUCGAUGCAACGCGAAGAACCUUACCUGGGUUUGACAUGCACAGGACGCCGGCAGAGAUGUCGGUUCCCUUGUGGCCUGUGUGCAGGUGGUGCAUGGCUGUCGUCAGCUCGUGUCGUGAGAUGUUGGGUUAAGUCCCGCAACGAGCGCAACCCUUGUCCUAUGUUGCCAGCGGGUUAUGCCGGGGACUCGUAGGAGACUGCCGGGGUCAACUCGGAGGAAGGUGGGGAUGACGUCAAGUCAUCAUGCCCCUUAUGUCCAGGGCUUCACACAUGCUACAAUGGCCGGUACAAAGGGCUGCGAUGCCGUGAGGUGGAGCGAAUCCUUUCAAAGCCGGUCUCAGUUCGGAUCGGGGUCUGCAACUCGACCCCGUGAAGUCGGAGUCGCUAGUAAUCGCAGAUCAGCAACGCUGCGGUGAAUACGUUCCCGGGCCU
rnacentral:rRNA from 1 species